rnacentral:rRNA from 1 species
AGGACGAACGCUGGCGGCGCGCCUAACACAUGCAAGUCGAGCGAGAACCAGGGCUUGCCCUGGGGAAAGCGGCGAACGGGUGCGUAACACGUGAGCAACCUGCCCCAAAGACCGGGACAACCCGAGGAAACUCGGACUAAUACCGGAUGCCCUCACCGGGCCGCAUGGUCUGGUGAGGAAAUGGAUUCCGCUUUGGGAUGGGCUCGCGGUCUAUCAGCUUGUUGGUGGGGUAACGGCCUACCAAGGCGACGACGGAUAGCUGGUCUGAGAGGACGAUCAGCCACACUGGGACUGAGACACGGCCCAGACUCCUACGGGAGGCAGCAGUGGGGAAUCUUGCGCAAUGGGGGAAACCCUGACGCAGCGACGCCGCGUGCGGGAUGAAGGCCUUCGGGUUGUAAACCGCUUUCAGCAGGGACGAAAUUGACGGUACCUGCAGAGAAGGCCGGCAACUACGUGCCAGCAGCCGC